rnacentral:piRNA from 1 species
UAGCAAUAUUGGGAGUUAAACACAGGGCA